rnacentral:lncRNA from 1 species
UAGAGAUCAUGAAAUUUGUGAAUUUCUUGAAAAACCCAAAGCAGUAUCAAGACCUAGGAGCAAAAAUCCCAAAGGUCCGAGACUUAUUUGCCCUUGCUCGGAAGAAUGCCCCUUGCAUCCUCUUCCAAUGUGGUGGGAAGGAAGACAGGAAAAGGCAACUUUGGAGGGCAGAAUGAGCAGGAGAACACACUCAACCAGCUGCUGGUGGAGAUGGAUGGUUUUAAUACAACAACAAAUGCCGUCAUUUUGGCCAGCACCA